rnacentral:rRNA from 1 species
UACGUAGGAGGCGAGCGUUGUCCGGAGUUACUGGGCGUAAAGCGUACGCAGGCGGUCCAGUUAGUCUAUAGGGACAGGGCACAGCUUAACUGUGUCAGGCUUAUGGAAACUGUUGGACUUGAGGGCUUCAGAGGGAUGGGGAAUUCCGGGUGGAGUGGUGAAAUGCGUAGAGAUCCGGAAGAACACCAAAGGCGUAGGCACCAUCCUGGGGAGUCACUGACGCUCAGGUACGAAAGCUAGGGGAGCGAACGGG